UCUUGAGAUCAGGUCGGUGGCCAUAAUGUGUCUUGAUAGAUUUGUCGAGCGAUUGUUGAGGAAGACUUUCUAGCUCUUGAUCAGCAUAAGCUAUUAACAAGUUUAAAGAUUUUGCUGAAUCUGCCAUGUCCUGAAUCUGCUUAGUUUCCCUAGCACUUUUCUUCUUGUUCCAUAGGAAGGCUGCACUUGCUGCAAUUACUAUAGCAGCUGCUAUAAACAACAUGUUGAACAAAGCCCUUGUGUGGUAUGGGAAUACCUUGUUAGUACCAUGGUCCAUAGGGUAAACAUAGUAUUGGUAAAGAAGUCCCACAAAUAGAAGGUACAGAGCAAACGAAGACGAUAUUAUAGCAGCAAGCCAGAGCCAGUUGUUCUGGCCUAAAAUGGGGGUUAUUGGUGCGUCAGAGUGGUCAGGUUUGAACAAAAUGGUCCGUAGGGGUUCAGAUUUUUCAUGUGCUGGUUCAAUCUCUCUGGUUAUAUAAGCCUCAAUUUGUAGGUCAAGAUUAGAAGAACAUCCUGAAGGAGUGCCUGCUAUAGGAAGAAGUAGGUCUAACAUAGAGAGUUGUGAAGUGUUCCUGAACACACUAACUAAUAAGAUCUUGGGAGUUUUGCAUUUCAGUGUUGAGCUCAUAUAAAUCAGCUCUCUGAUGAUUGAAAUGAAUGGAGUUAUUCCACUUCCUCCACUGAUCAACACCAAUGUGUCAUGCCUGUCAUCAAAAUAGACCACACCAUCACAAAAUAUACAUAGGGGAACUACAUUGACUUGGAAGAGUUUAAGCUCGAUGUACAGACGGAGUAAAAAAUCUUCAUAUGUUAGUCGUACUGCUAGUACGACUAACAUGUUUACAAAAGUUAGAAAACACUGAUAGUGUAAAACAUCUCUAACCUUAGGAAAUGAGUGGAAGCAGGUCCAUAGGGUCCUUCAACAGAAACAUCAAGACGAUCGACAGAGGAAGGCAAAGACAUGACACUGUAAAGCUUCUUAGUCCAACUUCCUUCACAUUUAAUGACAACACUAAUUGUUUCUGAUUCCAAGUUACUGUUUGAGGUUACAGUGAAUGGAUGCCACUGCAAUUUGGAUAUGCUUGGCACAUUUAGGAACGUAAUACUUGUCGGAGAGUACUCCAAACCUACAAAUUAGAACAAGUAAUCGUCCAGUUCAAAGUGAGAUAGGUAACCUGGAAAAUGAAAGACAGAAUUGUAGCUAGGCUGAACUAACCUGAUAUUUUGGAGAAGUUGAGUUCAACAGUUUCACAAGUCAAAACUCGGGCUGAAAUCAAACGAACUUUUUGCUUGGAUUGCAAGAAUCUCAAGUAUCGAUCGAUCAAGAAGAGGAAGAAACCAGGAAGCAUAAUGCAGGCAUAGAACAUUCCAGUGUGGAGUAGGUAGAAAACCAUGAAUAGAAUGUAGAGAUAAUGUGUGUAGAAGAAGAGUUCAAACAUUCUUCUUCUAAUUGCUGGAAAUGUUGUAGCCCACAAUAUUAAUCCAACUAGUAAACCAAGUUCUCCAGGUACAUUUGAUAUGUAAUGUGGAUCCCAUGUCAACAUCUGCAUCAAACCAAGAUUAGCUAGUAAAAAAGAUAUGAUCAAGGCAAUCAAUUAAAAUAGAAGAAUUAACCUAAGUAUUCAUCAACUGAUCAAAUGUGCAUAACUCAUGUGUAAUAUGUGUAUAAUCUAUGUAUAUCGGCUAGAAAAAAAGUCAACAAUGACUCCGGCCGGCUAUUUAUGUAAAGAUAAUCGUUGCUUAGACUAAAGAUAGCCACAGAUGUAUAUAUGCAUAAUCCAUGUAUUAUAUGUGUAUAAACAUAUAUAAUCAAAGUAUAGUCUAUGUAUAUCGUUAAAGAAAAUAAACUACUAUAGCUAUAUCUGGCGAAAGCAUCCGAAAAUUACACUACAUUUUUAUAAAUAGUCAAAUAUUAUCUGUAUUUUGUGUAUAUUUAUUAAAUUUUAAAUAUCCUUAAUGAAAUUCUUGAUUUCCCCAUUAUCACAUAGUAUUAUUUUGAUUUAUACUCAUACAUGCAUGAAUAAUUAAUUAUAGUUAUAAUAUGAUUAGGUCAUUUAGGUGUCAUGGUGAGGUGGGUAUCUUCUAGAAUUUUGAAAUAUAGAUACCAAAAUGGAUGUCACACUUGAACCUUUAAAUCAUUUCAUUUUUUUAUUAAAUAGGGGAAUAUUCUAUAAAGUUAGAAAACACCAAACAGAAAGCAGAAAGUUCAAACAAAUAUUUGAUUUAUGUGGUCCAAAAUUCCACUCACUUGCUGUGUUGUGUCACACUCAUACCUAAUGGCUAUUGAACUUUUUUUUGAUGAAUAAGUUUCCAAUUCUAGUGGAACUCUAAUUUAGUGUUAAGUCAAAGAGGUUCCCCACAUUUAACUGUCUCACCAAACUUUUAUUCCUUUUAUAUUUAUCUUAACUGUGUAGUUAAUCAACCAUCAACCAUGUGUUGUCUUCCCUUGAAAGUUAUGAAAUCUAUUUUUAUUUUUUUUACAAUUCCUUAGAUUUUAAUUUUUCAUAUGAUAUGUUUAAGAUUACAAGAUUAAAUUUAUUUUUGGUAUAUCUGAAGAACACCAUAUUCAAAAGUCGUCUUCUUAAGUUCAGAGUUAAGUUAAAAUAUGAUAAAUAAAUUGAACGGAAGAAUUACUAAUAAAUUGAAAUAUUUGCUACCUAUUUGCAUUACGUUAUCUUACUAUGUAUAAAUAAAGUAAAAUAAUACUUGUCAAUUUUGUGAUUUUCUUUUUCCAAUUUGGCAACGGGAAGGGAGGGAUUUUGAGAAGUGAAUUUAGACUUCCAUCGAUAUUAUUAGACUGAACGUAAUUUGGCAGUUUAUGGUAUGAGUUUGUUUAUUGAGGAAAAAAAAAAAGCUUAUAUGGAAAUUAAAAAGGAAAUUUAAUCAUUUCUUUUUGUCUUGUUUUGAAAAAGAGCUUAGGUAGAAAUUGAUUUGCUUUUUGAUAUGAAAAGAGUAAAAGGGUUUGUUGAUAGAAAAAGGAUUAAAAAAAUGUAAUGAUGAAAUCUUCUGUAUUAUUAGUUUAUCACAUUAUUAUAUUUUUGGUUGCUCCUCUCAUAAUGUGACAACUUACACACACAUAUAUAGUGACUUUAAAAAGAGUGAUGAUACAUAACUAUCUAGUUUUGCCUUUAAGAAUUUGAACCUCAGGUGCGUUCGAUGUGAAGAAAAAUAUUUUUUAUGGAUAUUAUUUUAAGAAGAAUAUGUGAGUUUUUCUAUUUAUUUAUAUUUUUUAUGUUUGAUAUAUAAAAAAAAAAAAUUAUUUUAAAAAUAUUUAUAUAAAAAUUAACUGGAGAUGAGAAUAUAGUAGUAGUUUACCAGAUAAAUUGAUAAGUCAAACAAUUUCAAUCCACCAAGUGAAAUUAGUGAUUUCUUGAUUACGAUCAAUCAAGACUAAAGGGUAUGGAUUGUUGGUAACGAGGGCUAUUAGGAUGGGGUAAAGAUGAGGUGCACAUAUUGGAGAAUGGGGAGAACACAAUUAACAUGAAAUACAAUUCAUGAAACUUAUUUUUUCUACUUAUACAACAAAAUUUAUUUUUCUCAUUUAUAAGAAAUUUAUUUUCCAGAAUGAUAUUUCUGAAAAAAAUUUACCAAUAUUUUUCACUAUACCAAACACACCCUUCUUUUUAAAUUGAGUGUCAAGAUAAGAAUAAGGCAGGCACAAUUAUUUCCAAACAUAUGCAUAGUAUGAAUCUAAAUUUUCCUUUACGACUUUAGACUAUGAAUGCAUAUAUCUUCUUUUUAAAGAUAAUUUUUUAAAAGUAAAACUAUGACAAUAAUUAGAAGUAAAAUUCAAUAAAGGAUACCAACUACCCUACAAAUGUUAAGAGUUAGUUGUUCGAUCUACAUCCAUCAAGAAUAAUAAAACUAACAAAUAUUAUAUUGCUAUUAGUUUUUCACAUAUUUUACACCACUUCCAAUUUGUUUUAAAGUUAUACCUCAUAUUGUUUUUCUUUCACUAUUAGUGAAAUUUAACAUGUAAUAACAUAUUAAUUAUUAUUUUAUCAAAUUAACGUAUCACAGAGAUUUAUCUGUAAUAUAAUUACCGUACAAUUUAUAAUUAGUAACCAAAUUAUAUUAAUUUUUUCUUCACUAUCAAUGCAAUUAAAACUUAAUCUCCUUACAUAUGAUGUAUUUUUGUGUUGGUUGAAAAUAAUCAAUUCUCCACUAGUUGUUUGUUAUGGUUGUUAUUAUUGCUCACUUCUCAAAACUAUGAAAGUUAAAGUCCAAUUAGGCCACCAAAAAUUUAAACAUAUGGUGGGGUUUGAUUUGAAACACAAGUGAACUUAAUAUUCACACUUUCUUUUUAGUGUGGGCACUAUCAAAUGUCAUUAUUGAGUGGCAAAACCAAGAAAACUUAAUGUGUAAUUAUCAUCUUAACGUUUUCUUGAAUCUUGAUUAAUUAAGUAGUUUCUUGUCCAUCAAAACUCUUUUUUCUUAAUUCAUGUACUAAUGGAUGCGGUUACGCAAUAAUUAUUUACACAUCAAAAUCUUUAAAAACCCCAACACCAACCCCCCCCCCCCCCAAAAAAAAAAAAAAAAAAANNNNNNNNNNNNNNNNNNNNNNNNNNNNNNNNAAAGAGUUUAAUGCACAAAAUUAGGUUAGCACUUAGCAUUAUUAGAAAAUUGCUAAUUUUCAACGAAUCAUCAUUGAAAAUCUCAUUUCAUGUGUGUCAGGGUUUUAAAAAGAGUUCUUGGGAUGUACAAUGAUUCAUAUAUUAAGGUCAUUUUUAUUAUGUAGAUCGUCACUUAGGAUUGUUACUGAGAAAAAUCAUACAUUCUUGGGGCGUAUACCAUUCUAUAAAUGAGUUCAUAUCAGGAAAAACCUUUUUUCGCUCCGCUUAGCCUUAUUACCUUUUUUUGUUCCGCUUAGCCUUAUUACCCCAUUUUAACACACAUUUGAUAUUGCAAUUAUUGAAAUAAUAUACUAUAUAUUAAUAAACAUGGGAAUGACAUAAUUACCUCAUGUAAUCUCCCAGAGACAGCCCAAAAGAGAAUAAAAAGAAGACCAUGAAUAGUGAAAAGUGUCAUAGCCAUAUGUCCCAACCAUAUAUGAUAUUUGAUGCUGCCUUCUGAAGUUAAUCCCAAAAGAGGCAAAAUUGAAGAGCCUCUACUCACUGGAUAAAAUAGAAAUGUUAAACAUAUAUUCCCCGUUAGCCCUAUCACUAAAGCCAACCUAUCAAUUCUUGCUUGCCACCUACAGAAUUUUCACCACAAAACAAAACUUCAGGGAAAAGAGUCUAGUCGAUUAGGUUUGACAAUCAGAAGAAAUAAAACGAAAUCAGGAUUUAACUGAAAAAUAAGUAUGACUAUGAAUAUCAUGAUCGAUCACUAUCGAAAAAGAAGAAUGCUAUCAAUCCCUCACCAAAAUUAAGACUAGAAAAAGGUGAAAGAAGAAAUUCUAUGCAUUUUACUCUUGAGUACUCUUGACUACUCAAGUAUUCAUUAAUAUAGUAAGUGAUUAAAAAAACUAAAAAUUAAAUUUUAUACAUGUUACACUUUGAGUCUUGACUACUUAAGUAUUCAUGAAUAUAAUAGUGAUGUUCAUUCUAUUAUUGUCACUUUUUUCGUUCUCAAGUAUUAGUCGUUUAACAGAUUGAACUUGUUUCUAAAUAUUUGACUAUUUAAGUAUUCGUGAAUAUAUAUAAUAGUGAAACCAUCAUAAUUUUCAUUCAAUUGUUGUCACACUCUUCCGUCUCAAAUAUAAGUCGUUUAACAAAUUGAAAUUAUCCCAAAAUAAUAUUUGACUUUAUAGACAAGCAAGAAUAAUUUAAUUUACACGUUUUUUUUUUCUAAAUUAAAUUCAUCCUUAAUUCUCUAAUUAGUGAAGUAUUAAUUAAUUAAGUGGGAUAUUAUUAAUUACUACUCCCUCCGUCUCAUUUUAUAUGUCACAUUUUAACUUUGCACUUGCAUUAAGAAAUGGUGUAACUUUACCCUUCUAUCUUUAUUUAAGUUUUUUGAAACUCAAGUUUCCAAUCAAUGAAUAUGAAUUAAUUUAUUUUGAUAUUAAUUUAACCUAUGAACAUGAAUCAUUUACUUAGUUUUUCUAAGUUGGUCAAAUGUAUGUUUUCAAUGUUAAUAACUCACAAGGGUAAAAAAGGAACAAUAUGCUAAUUUAUGCAUUGAUUUAAUGAAAUGAUGACGAGUAUUAUGGACCAACUAUUUAUAAAAAGAGAUGACAUAUAAAAUGAGAAGGAGGGAGUAGUAACUUAUAAGUAGAGGAUAUUAGGAUACCUAUUUUUAUUUUUUGAAAAAAAUUGAUCUAAAAAUGAGCGCACUUUUUAAGUUUUUCAACCCCUCCCCCCCCCAAAAAAAAAAAAACUAAAAAAAAUGCUUAAAACCCAAAAGCACCUAAAAAUAAACUAAUUCUAAUUUUUUUUAUAUCUUUAUAUAUAUACGUGUGCAAAAAUCUUAAAAGAUAGAUAAUAUAAACGAAAAGGAGAAACUUACACUUCAACUCCUUUAGUUGCUGCAUAAGUAGUAAUGGUACUAUAGUGAAAAUAGACAAAUGCUGAGAAAUACCAAACACAUAGAAUAAUGAACAUGGCUAGAAAAAAUAGUUCUAUCCAUGUCACUAUUCCUAAUGGUUUGAUGAUUUUUGGCUUCUUCAAUAUCUUCAACCAAUCUUUAUUGCUGAAAUUAAACAACAAUAAAAAUAAUUAAAUAUAUCAUUAAUCUACAAAAACAAAAAUAAAAAUAAAAUAUUGUUGUAUAUAUCAUACCGAUAUGAUGAAGUGACAAUAUCACUUUUUUUCUUCUCUAGAUGGACAUAAAGACAGCCCAAAACAGCUAUGAAUAAGAUUGGGAAUGUGAAGUUCAUCAUAAUGGGACCUGUAAAAUAACCACCAAGAAUCAAUUUUAUAAUUUCUUUUAUUUACCCUCAUCUCAACAAGAAAAAAGAGAAACAAAAGAAAAAAACAAUGAAGUCCAAUUUUCAUGCUAGUAUUAUUUUCUGUAUCGUUCUAAUUUUAUCAGAAAUUCCUAAAAACCAAGGGUGAAUGUAGUUAAACACUUAUGAGUUCAUUCAAACUCAGUUUGUAAUUGACUCGAACCUUAUAUACAUAUAUAUUAAAAGAUCCACUAAAUAAGCAUAAGUCGAAUCCAGUAUUAAAUGUGUUCUGAUGAACCUUAUACACAUACACUACUAAAAACACACAAAUUUCCCACGAAUUUUUUCCAAGGGAGCUCCAUCGGAAAAGUUUCUAACAAGCCAAUUUUCAAUUUUCCUUGAAAAUUUCCAUCAGAAAUUCACGUGUUUUUAGUAGUAUACUUCCAAACUCAAAUUUAUAAUAUUCAAAUCCUGAAUCCACCUCCGUCAAAAUGAGGAAAGGGAUGGAAAAAAUGGAAGACUUAAUUAAAAUUAAAAUACCUUGAAUAUCAAAGAAUGUGGAAUUGGUGGCAGCAACAAGAACAGGAACCCAUUUUUGAUAAUAUGUAAAAGUUGGCAUAAUAACCCACAUCAUUAAAUUCCCAAGAAAUAUUGUAAGUGCUAAAGCUAAUAUUGCUCCUUGUAUCAUUCUAAUUUUUCCAUCAGAAAUUGAUGAUGAUCUCUUAUUCAUCACCUCCAUUUUUCUUGUAACAAAUUAGUUUUUGUUUAAUAUUAGAAAUAUAUAGCAAAUAAGUGUUUACAAGUUGUAUGCUAUAAAUAAGCAAAAUUUGUAUGGGAUGCUGACUUGACAAGAUUAUUGCACCUCUCAAUGGUCUAGUGAUCUUGUCUUCCUAGGGCCCCAUUUUCCAUAUAUUUUUCAUUUUUUCAUUUUUUUUCACCUAACUUUCAAUUUUUUUUACUAAAUAUUUGAGUAAAAGUUAUAUAAAUCAUCAGCGUUAUCAGAUCACUUAAAAUAUAUUUCACAAGUAAAAUAGCUAUGGUGAAUGUAUACAUGGCAUAUAUAUCAUUUUAGUUCGAUUUGUAUCUAACACCCUAACCAAAUGCAAUAUAUUUUUAGUUACUACUUUUGUAAAUAUAUAUUUUCUUUUAGCAAUUACUAAUUAAAGAUUGUUUUGUUGGAUUUCUUAAUGACAAAAUGUAGAAAGUAUUAAAACACAUAUUUAAAAGCAAACCAUUUUUUAAAAAGAUCUUUUGGCUUUAGUUUUGUACCAUGAAUCUUGUGGUUGUUGCCUUAGAUUUUCUCUCUUUUGUUUAUUUUUUAAUUUUAUGAUAUUGUUGCAGCUUGGCUAUGGGAGAGUAGGUAUAACAGUAUCAUAAAAAUAUGUAAAAAUAAAGAAAUACACUAUAUAUAUAUAAAAGUGAACUUGUGGCCUUAUCCUGCUUUAAGAAAAAAAAAGAACACAAUACAAAAAGAUUGCAGGAUAAAGUAAAUUAGUGGUAGACAGGGGUUGUACUCCAUAUAUAAUUAAUAUAUAGUUCUCCAUAGUUUCUUCUACUAUAAAAUAUUUUAGUAAGUUUAAGUUUUGCCGAUAUUUUAUCCACUUCAGAUUUUACUGUGUAGAAUUAUAUUGAAAUGUUAUUAUUGAGGUAAGGUUAAUGACUUUUAAAAAGUAUAGUAUACCUAAAAUCAACAUGAUUGAAAUAGAUUCUCAACUUAUUAGUAUCAUCUUCACAAAAAAGAAAAAAAUCAAUUAUUUCUUUUUUUUGCUAAACUUGUAUUGAUUUCACCAUAUAAUUAAUAUGCUGUCAUUCAAGACAAUUUCCUUUCAUGUGUGUUUAGGCUUAUUCUAUUUCUUUUUAGUACAUCUUCACUUACUAUGCAUAUUUUCACAUCUAUGGACCAUUCUAUCAAAAGGUCGAUGCAAACUAUGAUUAAACCAUCUCAAUCUAAAUAUUCUCUCUUGAUAGAGUGCAUAAUAUUCUAAUUUUUCCAUAGUUGUAUUUCCAAAUACACUGCUUAUUUUUGAAUAUUUGUACUUCAAAAUUAGGCAACUCUAAAUAUAAUAGUAUCUAUCUCUCCGGUGAUAUAAGAUCCGUUAUUGAAUCAAUCCUUAAUUUCGUUUCUUUUUAUUGUCAUAAAAAUGUCUAAUUCGAUUAGUAAGUCAAUUCAAUCUUCUUGACUUUAUUUAUAUUCAGCUUCAUAUUUUGCUUUUUGUCCUUCAAAAUGGUAGCGAUAUCAAAUCAUAAUAUUAAACUCGACUACCACAUAACCUACCAACGUUUGAGUAGGAACACAUAGUAAUGAAAAUCAAAGCUCCCCAAAACUACAUGAAUUCUAUCUUUUAAUAUAAUUCAGGUCUUACUUAAAUGUAUGUAUGGUUGGUAAUUAAUAAUUAAUUCCUCAUCAAGCAUUUUCAAUUUCAUAAUUGUACUAAUUGACCUUUGUUUCAGUUGGAAGUGUCUAGAGGCCUCUACUUCUGUUGACAAGUCAUUUGCCACCAAAAAAAGAUUUCUAAUCACUUGUCCUACCACUGAAGAGAAUGUAAUAAAUAAUAGUAAUUUUCUUUAAAGUAAAAAAUAAUUCAAGCAAAUGAUUUGUACAUCUUGUUAUUUUUAUACUCCAUAUAACUAGGGGAAGUUGAAAAUCAUUAUGGUCAAAAAGGAAAUUUUACUAUUUCUAAACAAAACAUAAAAUUAGAUUGUACUUCACAUAAACUAAUUCAUUUUCUUUGUUUUUGACUCUUUACCUAAUUAUAAUUUCUUGUUGCCAUCUCAUCUACAUCAACCUUCCUUUGUUCAUUUUCAACCUAUAUUCAUUUGACAACUUUCAAAAACUCAAACCAACCAACCUACAUACAUCUCUUUUCUUUUUUUGUUAAUAUUUUCAACCAACUAACCAUGUUAAUUCAUUCCUUCAAUGUUAAUGUCUUUAUCAUCACUUAUGAUACAUGUCAUAUACAUAAUUAUACAUCAUAUAUACAUGAUUAUACACUAUUCAUAUAAUAUAAAUACAUUAAUAAUAGGGAAAAUUACAAGUAUAAGCAAACAUAUACUAGUUAAUUACUUAACAUAGCUAUAGUUUGUCUUAAUUACAAUUCACAACCUACUUUUAGUUAUAAUUACGCGGCUCAGCUUUUUAAUUUUGUAUAAUUCGCAUGUUUGUAUAAUUCGGAAUUUGUAUAAUAUAAUUUGUAUAACUUUUGUAUAAUUUGAAAUUUGUAUAAUAUAAUUUGUAUAAAUUUUUACACUUCUGAAGUUUGUAAUUGUAUAAAUUCGUUAUUUCGAGUUAAUACAAAAAAUAACUAAAUUAUACAAAUGUGCCCACGAAUUAUACAAACCUGCGAAUUAUACAAAUCCGCAAAUUAUACAAACGAGGCAGCUUAAACUGUAGCUACAUCCAGUAAAUAUGCAAACUAUAGCUAUGUAACAUAAUUAAGUUUAUUAUAGUGGCUAUUUGCCAAAGUUUCUCAUAAUAAUAAUAAGCCUCAUCCUCUUGGACUCGGGUUGGGCUAUUGUGGGUAAAUUACCCAAGGCGCAACCGGCUGUUAAAUCAUCGUCCCAAUUUUUAUUUAGUCGGCUGAGUAGAGUUGAAUAUAGAGAAAAUUAUAGAAAUCACUAUAGUUCCAUAGCUAAGUAAUUUUAGGAAAAAUUGUUUAAAUACAUAAAUAUUUCUAUCAUAUUUAUUAAUUGUUUCUAUAAUUUGAAAUAAUUAUAUUUUAUCUCACUAAUUAUUAAUUUUUUAUUAAAUUUUAAGUCAUAUACACCUAAAUACAUGUUCUUUUGCUACCCGAUACACUAAAAUUGAGAGAGAAGCGAGCGAGAGUAGGAGAGAGGCAAGUGAAAUUUGUCUAUGUAUCCCAGAUACAUGCGAAUUACACUAAAUACAUAUAUCUAGUGUGAUUCGCAUGUAUCUUGGAUACCAGAUACGCAAGCGAGAUAUGAGAGUGACGAGUGAGAUGGGAGGGAGGCGAAGGAGGCGAGCGAGAUUUUUCUAUGUAUCACAGAUAUAUGCAAAUCCACUUGGAUACAAUAUAUCUACAACAAAUUACACAUAGUUUUGAUCUCGUGUGCGAUGUGUCUAGACACACCAAUUUUUAUUUUAUAAUAUUACAAUUAGCAUGUAUCUUAGUAAUUAACUUCUAAGUUAAUAAUUAAAUGCAACUAGCUCGCUAUUUUGUUUCAAUAUUUAUUACUCAUAGAAAAUAUUUCGCAAGGUUUGUACCAACGAAUACAACCUAUAUAUUAAUGAGGAACUUUCACAUAUAGCCACUCAAAAAUAGCCUAAUUACUCUCCAUAGCUAUAAUUUGAUAAUUACAAUUCGUAGCUACAUGUUAUAGGAAGGAGAGCGGAGAGCGAGACUGGGAGAGAGAGGAGAGAGGCGAGCGAGAAAGAGGAAAGAGUGGGAGAGAGGUGAAUUGUAUAUGUAUAUCGGUUAGAUAAUUGUAUAUUAUACAUAUGUAUUUGUAUAUAUGGAAAGCGAGAUUGGGAGAGGGAGGAGAGAGACGAGNNNNNNNNNNNNNNNNNNNNNNNNNNNNNNNNNNNNNNNNNNNNNNNNNNNNNNNNNNNNNNNNNNNNNNNNNNNNNNNNNNNNNNNNNNNNNNNNNNNNNNNNNNNNNNNNNNNNNNNNNNNNNNNNNNNNNNNNNNNNNNNNNNNNNNNNNNNNNNNNNNNNNNNNNNNNNNNNNNNNNNNNNNNNNNNNNNNNNNNNNNNNNNNNNNNNNNNNNNNNNNNNNNNNNNGGGAGAGAGGUGAAUUGUAUAUGUAUAUCGGUUAGAUAAUUGUAUAUUAUACAUAUGUAUUUGUAUAUUCUGGCGAAUUAUACAUAUACAAACGUGGAUAAUUAUACAAACUCGAAGUCAGCCCACGUAAUUAAUGUAUAUAAUGUUAGUCGCGAGUGGUAAUUAUAACAAACUAUAGCUUUGAUGAGUAAUUAAGUAGUAUAAGUUUGCUUAACUGCGUAAUUUUUCCUAUUUUAUAUAUAAAGAAAAUAUUUAACACUAUUAUUUUUGAUGAAAUUAUUUUCAAAAUGAAAAUUUAAGUUAUAUACUUUUUUAUUUUACUUUUUGAAAAAUAGAUACAAUAGUAUACGUGAAUUUUAUAUUUAUAUAUAUAUAUAUAUAUAUUAUAAGGUGACACCGCUUGCAAAAAUUUAUGCGUAUGCCGCUGAUUGAUUUUUAUUUUGAUUUUGAGGCGCCAAACUUGUUUUGGGUACUCUAAAAAAUAUUUCUCCAAGGUCAUUGAACUCCAAACUGAAAUAUCAGUCAAAGUGUACCACACUUGUUAAAAAUCAACCCACAAUACACCAAAUACUAAAGAGUAAAGUUGUAAAGGACUUUUGGGAGAAUGAGAAGACAAAAAACCAAAAGGUUUUAUUUAAUAACUAAAAAAAGUUAAAAGAAGACCUUUUGUUUUUUUAUCUUAAAAAAGGUCACUUUUGUUCUCUCUUUAAAGAGAAAAACAGAACCAAAAAGAAAUUGAACAAAAAAACCUUAAUCUUUCCAAAAAGUCUAGGCUUGAACCCAGGCCACAAAAGCCUGACAAAAAAAUUAAACAAAAUGCCUAAGCUUGGGCUCGAACACGGAACCUGAAGUAGCUUUGAACACCCUUAGCCGCUGGGCUAUAUUUCUUUAUUGUAUCAAAAGUGUUCAACAAUUUGUAUAUAUCCAAAAAUAUUUCCAACGAAGGUUGUUCAUCUGACCACCAUCGCCAAGGCAUAACUCUGCUCCUGGAUAUGGGAAUAAGGCUAACGGAUGGAUGUUGUUUAUAUUAUUGAGAAAGAGAUAUACUAGGAUGAAUGAUGUUUAGAUUAACGGAACAUCAUAGAUAACUAAAAGAAAAGAUAAAAAUUACUUUCUUAAUUAACCUACUGUUAUUGACAUAACAUUAGAGAUAUAUAUCAGUAGUAUUAUGUUUUAGAUAACAUUUUAUUUGAAAAUUUCUUACUAUCCCUUUAUUCUAAUCAUUUCUCAAUAUGAUUUUGAAUUAAAUUAUAGUAUUAAUUUUUAUUUAUGAUUCUGCUAUAUAUAUAUAUAUAUAUACUUUUUAUGGUUUUUGUCUCCAUGCAGUUAUUUUGUUAAUAGUUUAAAUUUAUAUAAUAAUAUGAUUAUAUAAAAGUAAGGGUUAAUUCUAGUUAAUAAGAGUUGAGCCAUUUGUUUGCAAUAUAUCAUCUUUGAUAUUUUUAUAAAAACUUUAUUUACUAAUAAGAAGAUUUGAGUUGUUUAAUUUAAAGUUUUAAAAUAUUAUUGAUAAAAAUUAGAUAGUUCUUCUAUUUUUCUUUUUUUCAUUUCAAUUUUGUAUUUUUUUUUCAUAAUAUUUAAUAUUAUCUCAAGUGAAACUAUAAUUAAAAAAAUCACUAUUAAUUUUGUUAAUAUUCAUUGCAAUUAAUUCAAUGAUAAAUUUAGUUAAGUGAUUUUAUUGAUACAAAAGGUUAAGUUGAGUGAUUUUUUUUAUACAAAAAGUGUAAGUUGAGUUGCCAUCAGUUUUACUUUGUUCCCAUUUGGGAGAACCUCAAAUUCUGCUUAUUUUGAGAAUUGCUUUUGUUAGUUGCAACUCACAUGAGGUUCCUUUUGUUAUUUUUGCUCAGGUCUUGUUUGAUUUAUUUCAGCAUGAUUUACGCUUGUGGAAAGCAUAUAGCAUUACUUUAAAGGUAAAUUUGAUACAUUAUUUCUUGGAUACGUUGACUUUAUUUGUGCAUCUCACCGUGGUUUUCAUGUGCAUCUUCAGACCCAUCCAUCAUUUGCUGAAUACCAUGACUUGCUUGAAAGUUUGGAUGAAAAACUUUCAUCCACUUCAAAUUCAGAAGAGACGUGAGCUCUCUGGAUGUAAAGAGCUCCCUUGGUCAGCUUUGCUAUUAAUGGUUAAAAGAGCUCCCAGUGAGAUCUUCUACUUGAAGCUUUAACCGCACCAACUUGAAAUCAGCAUCAAUGUCUAAUUGCUCUAUUGGGAAGGGGGUUGAGCGGCUCUGCAAAAGGCACGAGAUGAGAUUUCGGUUCCUGUUCUACUUUUACCCUAUCUGUGUCCUGCAGAAUUUAUUUUGUAGAUAGGCAUAUCAUUGCUCCAUGGUCCUGUUUCUUUUUCAUGAUUUAUAGUUUGUAUCAAAUUUUAGCUUUGUCAUCAAGGGUGUAGGUGAUCGUAAUGAAAAGGGGCACCUCUUGUAUGAAAGAUCUGAUCUUCCGAUAAAUAGAGAAUAGAGAAGAUUUUGUGCAUUACUGCAUCACUCCUUUCCUUCUUUUUUAUUUAUUUACAGUUUAUACCAGAUUUCAUUGAGGGUGUGGGCGAUUGUAAUGAAAAGGGGGGACUCUUGGAUGAAAGAUUUUGAUCUUCUGAAAGUGAAUAUUUUGUGCAUUUCAUCAUGUGGACAAAUAAAGCUGAAUAUUUAUGCUUCAGAAUUCUUCACCCCAUAUUACUUCUUCUGAUUGUUCGAUCUAUGGUUCUGGGAGACUGCAGAGGAUACUUUAAGAAGAUAUUCGACAAAAAGUACUGUUAUCUUGGGCAACCAUACCCACAAUACCUAUUUUAAACACACAUAUUGAUUCAACCAGAAGACUGGAACAUAUUACAGGGCAUAAUAUCUAUAUAGAUACUGCUGCAUUCUUAUAGAGUCCUUUUAAGGUAGCUCUGGAAAUCACCAGGUGAAGCUGAUGGACUCGAAGUGCAGAUUUUCAACCAACCCAGAUGAGCAAAUGGCUGCUACGUCAUGCCUCAAGGUCUUCGGUCCAGAGGCAAGUACUCCAACACUUGAUCCUUUAACUUCUAGCAAUAUUCCUGCAAAAGAAUUUCAUUUAGUUACCAAGCAUAGAGAGUUGGGAAACGAAGUACUACUUAGUAGUUUUGAUUAUGCAAAGAUAUUGUAGUAAUUACUCUUGAGAUCAGGUCGGUGGCCAUAAUGUGUCUUGAUGGAUUUGUCGAGCGAUUGUUGAGGAAGACUUUCUAGCUCUUGAUCAGCAUAAGCUAUUAACGAGUUUAAAGAUUUUACUGAAUCUGCCAUGUCCUGAAUCUGCUUAGUUUCCCUAGCACUUUUCUUCUUGUUCCACAGGAAGGCUGCACUUGCUGCAAUUACUAUAGCAGCUGCUAUAAACAACAUGUUGAACAAAGCCCUUGUGUGGAUUGGGAAUACCUUAUUAGUACCAUGAUCCAUAGGGUAAACAUAGUAUUGGUAAAGAAGUCCCACAAAUAGAAGGUACAGAGCAAACGAAGACGAUAUUAUAGCAGCAAGCCAGAGCCAGUUGUUCUGGCCUAAAAUGGGGGUUAUGGGUGCAUCAGAGUGGUCAGGUUUGAACAAAAUGGUCCGUAGGGGUUCAGAUUUUUCUUGUGCUGGUUCAGUCUCUCUGGUUAUAUAAGCCUCAAUUUGUAGGUCAAGAUUAGAAGAACAUCCUGAAGGAGUGCCUGCUAUAGGAUGAAGAAGGUCUAACAUUGAGAGUUGUGAAGUGUUCCUGAACAUACUAACUAAUAAGAUCUUGGGAGUUUUGCAUUUCAGUGUUGAGCUCAUAUAAAUCAGCUCUCUGAUGAUUGAAAUGAAUGGAGCUAUUCCACUUCCUCCACUGAUCAACACCAAUGUAUCAUGCCUGUCAUCAAAAUUGACCACACCAUCACAACAUAUCAUAGUGGAACUACAUCGAC
rnacentral:lncRNA from 1 species